GAUUGCAGGAAUUGAAACAGAACAAUGGAGGGAUAGAAAGAGAGAGCAAGCGAGAACAGCUGACGGGGGCAGUUAGGUACCGAAAGUCUUGCAGGAGCAGGCACCUGUAAUCGAAAUCGUGUAGUUGCUUGCAACAGGAGUGAUAAUUCAGGAGCAGCAGACGAUGUGGUUACCUUUACGCAAUUUAACUCUUGCAAUUAAACCUACACGAAUGCACAGUUGCAGUGAACCUCUUCGCAAGUGUUCAAGGAGCUAAGUACUUCAUGGCAAUUUCAGUCUAUGCUUGGCACUACGUUUCAUGGCUAAGCACCUCUGCGCUCAUCGAUGCGGAUCACUGUCGGGUUCCGUAUUCGGAACAAGAUUACAAAAUAGCGUUCAAUGAGACGACUUGAAGCGCCGUCUGGAUGGGAAAGCACUGCAGAUGCUCAUCAGCCACAACGAUUUGUGAAACUUAUAACAUAAACGUUGAUGAACAAUGUCUGCACUGAUGUCUGCAGCCGAGGAGGCUGCUACUCUAGCAGAUCCAGCCUGCGAAGAUGCUCAUGCAGAAGCAGUGGAGUGAGGGAUGUCGAGGGAUUGACAAUUCUUUGAGGUUUUUGUGUUCAUACUCUUGUGAAUAACGAGUUUGGUAUUCAACAUUGAACGUAAUGCUGUACAUGUAAACAAUAAGUUUUUUAAUCAAGUUAAUUUUACAGAAAAGCUUCAACUCGUUUUGUAAUAUAAAAAUGCAACAAUAAAGAUAUUUAAAAUAUGUUCGUGUUUUA